rnacentral:lncRNA from 1 species
AAUUAUUAUUGAUGUAUUUCUUUAUUAGGGCAACCUACCAUUUAUGAUUACUUAGUUCCUGUGCUGGUGACUACAAACACAGCCUUUUUCACUCUGACUGUGCUUCUUCUCUGCAAGCUGAAAAACAAGAAGGAGCAUCAAAACGGACCUGGAAAUCCCUUAAGUAACAUGAAUGAAAACACAGCAGAGCAGGACACAGAAAGACUGAAUUACGCAGCUUUGCACUUUAGCCACGAGAACAAAUCGGGAAGACGGAACAAGGAACGGGACAAGCACGUAAUGUACGGUGCAGUGAGGCAUCAGGAAAAAUGAGACUUCCGGUAAGGAGAUUAGGAGACAAAAGGGGACAUGAUCAAAACUACUGAAUCACUAAUGAGGAAGGCCUGCAUGAGGAAGGACGAGGAUGCGAAGACGGGAUGCCGCGCUGAAUUAUUCUGGAGUUAGUGACAAGCUUCUGUGUAAAUAAAAGUGGUUUUCGGUCAGCUGUUCCUGUUUCU